CUUAAAUAUAUUUUAUCAGCCGUUAGGGCUUCCCACACAUAACGGCGAAUUCACAUCGCAUCGCAAAAUAUCUGCGAAAAAAUUCAUAAAAAAUGACAUUGCGCUGCGAUGCGAUUUGCA